GAUGAACGCUGGCGGCGUGCCUAAUACAUGCAAGUCGAGCGACCGGACGAGAAGCUUGCUUCUCUGAUGUUAGCGGCGGACGGGUGAGUAACACGUGGAUAACCUACCUAUAAGACUGGGAUAACUUCGUGAAACCGUAGCUAAUACCGGAUAAUAUUUUGAACCGCAUGGUUCAAAAGUGAAAGACGGUCUUGCUGUCACUUAUAGAUGGAUCCGCGCUGCAUUAGCUAGUUGGUAAGGUAACGGCUUACCAAGGCAACGAUGCAUAGCCGACCUGAGAGGGUGAUCGGCCACACUGGAACUGAGACACGGUCCAGACUCCUACGGGAGGCAGCAGUAGGGAAUCUUCCGCAAUGGGCGAAAGCCUGACGGAGCAACGCCGCGUGAGUGAUGAAGGUCUUCGGAUCGUAAAACUCUGUUAUUAGGGAAGAACAGAUGUGUAAGUAACUGUGCACAUCUUGACGGUACCUAAUCAGAAAGCCACGGCUAACUACGUG
rnacentral:rRNA from 1 species